rnacentral:misc_RNA from 1 species
AAAAUGCGAUAAGUAAUGUGAAUUGCAGAAUUCAGUGAAUCAUCGAAUCUUUGAACGCACAUUGCGCCCGCCAGUAUUCUGGCGGGCAUGCCUGUCUGAGCGUCAUUUCAACCCUCGGGACCCCGUUCGCGGGACCCGGCGUUGUGGAUCAGCCCUCUCCGGGGGGCUGGCCCCGAAAUCUAGUGGCGGUCCGCCAGCGAUCUCCUCUGCGCAGUAGUUGAUACCUCGCAGCUGGAUAGCGGUCGGGCCACGCCGUAAAACCCCCAACUUCUCAAGGUUGACCUCAGAUCAGGUAGGAAUACCCGCUGAACUUAAGC